AAUAGAUACCCGGGUAGUCCAUGCCGUAAACGUUGGGCACUAGGUGUGGGGGACAUUCCACGUUUUCCGCGCCGUAGCUAACGCAUUAAGUGCCCCGCCUGGGGAGUACGGCCGCAAGGCUAAAACUCAAAGGAAUUGACGGGGGCCCGCACGAAGCGGCGGAGCAUGCGGAUUAAUUCGAUGCAACGCGAAGAACCUUACCAAGGCUUGACAUGUUCCAGACCGGGCUAGAGAUAGUCCUUCCCUUCGGGGCUGGUUCACAGGUGGUGCAUGGUUGUCGUCAGCUCGUGUCGUGAGAUGUUGGGUUAAGUCCCGCAACGAGCGCAACCCUCGUUCCAUGUUGCCAGCACGUAGUGGUGGGGACUCAUGGGAGACUGCCGGGGUCAACUCGGAGGAAGGUGGGGAUGACGUCGAAAUCAGUCAUGCCCCUUAUGUCUUGGGCUUCACGCAUGCUACAAUGGCCGGUACAAUGGGUUNCGAUACUGUGAGGUGGAGCUAAUCCCUAAAAGCCGGUCUCAGUUCGGAUUGGGGUCUGCAACUCGACCCC
rnacentral:rRNA from 1 species